CAGCCUCACCCACAGGAGCAGACGUACAAGGAACUCACGAAGACAUGCCAUUAGAUGGAGUCAGGCCAGGACACGAGGGGGCAGAGAUCCUGAGCAAGACUGGGGUACGACUUGCCUGAACACGCCUUUUCGCAUGCUGUUCCCCGUGCCUGGAAUGCUCUUCCCGAUUUUUCACCUUUCAGCUCGCAGACCUUCCUCGGGAAGCCUUCCCUGACUCCCUCCGUGUCCCCAAUCAGGUCUGCGGCCCCCACUUCUAAGAAGUUAUAUGUUGAAUACUCUCCCUUUCUCUUCUUGGACCUUAUUACAAUUUUUAAUGAUAUAUUGAUUUAUACA